rnacentral:rRNA from 1 species
GUGGGGAAUAUUGCACAAUGGGCGAAAGCCUGAUGCAGCGACGCCGCGUGAGGGACGAAGGCCUUCGGGUUGUAAACCUCUUUCAGCAGGGAAGAAGCGAAAGUGACGGUACCUGCAGAAGAAGCACCGGCUAACUACGUGCCAGCAGCCGCGGUAAUACGUAGGGUGCAAGCGUUGUCCGGAAUUAUUGGGCGUAAAGAGCUCGUAGGCGGUUUGUCGCGUCUGCUGUGAAAACUCAGGGCUUAACCCUGAGCCUGCAGUGGGUACGGGCAGACUAGAGUGUGGUAGGGGAGAUCGGAAUUCCUGGUGUAGCGGUGGAAUGCGCAGAUAUCAGGAGGAACACCGGUGGCGAAGGCGGAUCUCUGGGCCAUAACUGACGCUGAGGAGCGAAAGCAUGGGGAGCGAACAGGAUUAGAUACCCGAGUAGUCC